rnacentral:rRNA from 2 species
AGAGUUUGAUCCUGGCUCAGAACGUACGCUGGCGGCACGCCUAACACAUGCAAGUCGAACGAAGUAGCAAUACUUAGUGGCAGACGGGUGAGUAACAUGUAGGUAUCUGCCCUUUGGCCUGGAAUAACACGAGGAAACUUGUGCUAAUACCGGAUAAGUCUUUACGGAGAAAGCUUUAUGCACCAUUGGAUGAGCCUGCACUUGAUUAGUUUGUUGGUGGGGUAAUGGCCUACCAAGACUGUGAUCAAUAGCUGAUUUGAGAGGAUGAUCAGCCACAUUGGGACUGAGACACGGCCCAAACUCCUACGGGAGGCAGCAGUGGGGAAUCUUGCACAAUGGAGGAAACUCUGAUGCAGCGAUGCCGCGUGAGUGAAGAAGGCCCUUGGGUUGUAAAGCUCUUUCGUCGGGGAAGAAAAUGACUGUACCCGAAUAAGAAGGUCCGGCUAACUUCGUGCCAGCAGCCGCGGUAAUACGAAGGGACCUAGCGUAGUUCGGAAUUACUGGGCUUAAAGAGUUCGUAGGUGGUUGAAAAAGUUGGUGGUGAAAUCCCAGAGCUUAACUCUGGAACUGCCAUCAAAACUUUUCAGCUAGAGUUUGAUAGAGGAAAGCAGAAUUUCUAGUGUAGAGGUGAAAUUCGUAGAUAUUAGAAAGAAUACCAAUUGCGAAGGCAGCUUUCUGGAUCAUUACUGACACUGAGGAACGAAAGCAUGGGUAGCGAAGAGGAUUAGAUACCCUCGUAGUCCAUGCCGUAAACGAUGUGUGUUAGACGUUGGAAAUUUAUUUUCAGUGUCGCAGCGAAAGCGAUAAACACACCGCCUGGGGAGUACGACCGCAAGGUUAAAACUCAAAUGAAUUGACGGGGACCCGCACAAGUAGUGGAGCAUGUGGUUUAAUUCGAAGAUACGCGCAGAACCUUACCAACACUUGACAUGUUCGUCGCGACUUUAAGAGAUUAGAGUUUUCGGUUCGGCCGGACGAAACACAGGUGCUGCAUGGCUGUCGUCAGCUCGUGUCGUGAGAUGUUGGGUUAAGUCCCGCAACGAGCGCAACCCUCACUUUUAGUUGCCAUCAUUUAGUUGGGCACUCUGAAAGAACUGCCAGUGAUAAGCUGGAGGAAGGUGGGGAUGACGUCAAGUCCUCAUGGCCCUUACGUGUUGGGCUACACACGUGCUACAAUGGUAUCUACAACAGGAAGCAAGACUGCGAAGUUUAGCAAAUCCUUAAAAGAUACCUCAGUUCGGAUUGCACUCUGCAACUCGAGUGCAUGAAGCUGGAAUUACUAGUAAUCGUGGAUCAGCGUGCCACGGUGAAUGCGUUCCCGGGUCUUGUACACACCGCCCGUCACACCAUGGGAGUUGGUUCUACCUUAAGGCAAGGCUUUAAACCCUUGACCACGGUAUAGUCAGCGACUGGGGUGAAGUCGUAACAAGGUAACC